CGCAUCUGUGCAUGCAGCAUAUCAAUAAGCGGAGGAAAAGAAACUAACAAGGAUUCCCCUAGUAACGGCGAGUGAAGCGGGAAGAGCUCAAAUUUGAAAUCUUAAAGGGUUUCCCUUUACGAAUUGUAGUUUAAAGAAGUGUUUUCUGUUGAGGUUUUGGUAAAAGUUCUUUGGAAUAGGACAUCAUAGAGGGUGAGAAUCCCGUAUUUGACCUUUACUUUCAACUUUGUGAUACACUUUCAAAGAGUCGGAUUGUUUGGGAAUGCAGUCCAAAAUGGGUGGUAAAUUUCAUCUAAAGCUAAAUAUUGGCGAGAGACCGAUAGCGAACAAGUACCGUGAGGGAAAGAUGAAAAGAACUUUGAAAAGAGAGUUAAACAGUACGUGAAAUUGUCAAAAGGGAAGCGUUUGAUCACCAGUGUUGUUUUUCUGAAAAUCAAUUAAAGAACUGUUUAUGCUAAGCUGUUUAGACUUUAUCAGCUAAUCUGUUUAGUUUUGAGCUUUUCUUUAAUGCACUUUUCAGUUAACAAGUCAACAUCAAUUUCUUUUGCUGUAAAAAAGCUUGAGGAAGGUGGCUUGAGAUUCGUCUUAAGUGUUUAUAGCCUCUUGCCUAUGCAGUCGGAGAGAUUGAGGUCUGCAGCGUAGAUCCUUCGGGGCUAAAUGCAUUUGUGCUAAGUUAUAGCAUUUUAUAGACAACUUGUUGACUAUGAUUUGUCUUGUAGCUUACUCGCUUAUGUUAUUUUACCUACGCUUAGGAUGUUGACGAGACUGUCGAUCUC
rnacentral:rRNA from 1 species